rnacentral:rRNA from 1 species
UUCGAAGCAACGCGAAGAACCUUACCAGGUCUUGACAUCCCCUGACAACCCAAGAGAUUGGGCGUUCCCCUUCGGGGGACAGGGUGACAGGUGGUGCAUGGUUGUCGUCAGCUCGUGUCGUGAGAUGUUGGGUUAAGUCCCGCAACGAGCGCAACCCUCGCCUCUAGUUGCCAGCAUUCGGUUGGGCACUCUAGAGGGACUGCCGGCGACAAGUCGGAGGAAGUGGGGAUGACGUCAAAUCAUCAUGCCCCUUAUGACCUGGGCUACACACGUGCUACAAUGGGCGGUACAAAGGGCUGCGAACCCGCGAGGGGGAGCGAAUCCCAAAAAGCCGCUCUCAGUUCGGAUUGCAGGCUGCAACUCGCCUGCAUGAAGCCGGAAUCGCUAGUAAUCGCGGAUCAGCAUGCCGCGGUGAAUACGUUCCCGGGCCUU